AGGCUGAGCCUGACGGUACUGAGUCAGCUGACAAGUCAGCUUACUUAAUGGGACUGAACUCAGCUGACCUG
rnacentral:miRNA from 1 species